rnacentral:rRNA from 1 species
GACGAACGCUGGCGGCGUGCUUAACACAUGCAAGUCGAACGGUAAGGCCUUCGGGUACACGAGUGGCGAACGGGUGAGUAACACGUGGGUGAUCUGCCCUGCACUUUGGGAUAAGCCUGGGAAACUGGGUCUAAUACCGAAUAGGAUCAUGGCCUUCAUGGGUUGUGGUGGAAAGCUUUUGCGGUGUGGGAUGGGCCCGCGGCCUAUCAGCUUGUUGGUGGGGUAAUGGCCUACCAAGGCGACGACGGGUAGCCGGCCUGAGAGGGUGUCCGGCCACACUGGGACUGGGAUACGGCCCAGACUCCUACGGGGGGCAGCAGUGGGGAAUAUUGCACAAUGGGCGCAAGCCUGAUGCAGCGACGCCGCGUGGGGGAUGACGGCCUUCGGGUUGUAAACCUCUUUCAGUAGGGACGAAGCGCAAGUGACGGUACCUACAGAAGAAGCACCGGCCAACUACGUGCCAGCCGCCGCCGUAA